ensembl:lncRNA
UUUUAAGUUGUAACAUUAUUCCAUUAACGAAGUGAAAAUCUUAACUUGCUGUUUGGUUCACACCAAUCUCGAAACGUAUGUUAUGACAACCAUAGACAACGACCUACCUAUGGGGACGAUAUAUCCGGGGCACCGGUAGUGCCGGAUAUCCGGGGCUAGAAUUCCUCAUCCGUCGGCGUGUAAUUGUUUACAGUCCGAAGAGCAACUUUAAACGCAAGUAUUGAGUUGCAGCAUAUAUUUUUAUUUGCAGUAUUUCAUGGAACACCAAUCUCGAAACGUAUGCUAUGACAACGACCUACCUAUGGGGACGAUAUAUCCGGGGAACCGGUAGUGCCGGAUAUCCGGGGCUAGAAUUCCUCAUCCGUCGGCGUGUCAUUGUUUACAGUCCGACGAGAACUUUAAACAAAUCCAAUAGUAUCCAGCUGCAGCCCCGGAGAACACCCUGGCAUGACAGAACACCACCCAGGCGGGACAGAAGUACUGUGGCUGGACGGAAGUUACCUCCGAUUAUUUUUUCUAUAGACAAAUAAACUUAUUUAUCGCUUGAAUUAACAAAACAUAGAAAUAAAAAAAUAUUUCGACACAUGUAAAGCCGUUCCGCCGAAUUCAACAACCGUAGAAACAGAGGAAAGGACACAACAUUAUCGAGACCAAUCUCAUGGGCCCUGAUGAACCGGUGAAACGGAUAAGUCUGAUGAAUUUAACCACGGGUCGAACCAAUGAUGGGGCAAGAGUGGUGUUUUUUGUUUUUUUAAACAUAAGGGGUAACGCUGUCUUCUUUUUUAUCGGGCUUAAUGAAAAAAACAA